rnacentral:rRNA from 1 species
CCUACGGGAGGCAGCAGUGGGGAAUAUUGCACAAUGGGCGCAAGCCUGAUGCAGCCAUGCCGCGUGUAUGAAGAAGGCCUUCGGGUUGUAAAGUACUUUCAGCGAGGAGGAAGGCGUUAAGGUUAAUAACCUUGGCGAUUGACGUUACUCGCAGAAGAAGCACCGGCUAACUCCGUGCCAGCAGCCGCGGUAAUACGGAGGGUGCAAGCGUUAAUCGGAAUUACUGGGCGUAAAGCGCACGCAGGCGGUUUGUUAAGUCAGAUGUGAAAUCCCCGGGCUCAACCUGGGAACUGCAUCUGAUACUGGCAAGCUUGAGUCUCGUAGAGGGGGGUAGAAUUCCAGGUGUAGCGGUGAAAUGCGUAGAGAUCUGGAGGAAUACCGGUGGCGAAGGCGGCCCCCUGGACGAAGACUGACGCUCAGGUGCGAAAGCGUGGGGAGCAAACAGGAUUAGAUACCCGAGUAGUC